rnacentral:piRNA from 1 species
UUCCAGCGAAUGAACGGAUUGUUUGGG